rnacentral:rRNA from 1 species
GUGGGGAAUCUUCCGCAAUGGACGAAAGUCUGACGGAGCAACGCCGCGUGAGUGAAGAAGGUUUUCGGAUCGUAAAGCUCUUUCGUUAGGGACGAACGUGCUCUUUGUGAAUAAUGAGGAGUAAUGACGGUACCUAAAUAAGAAGCCACGGCUAACUACGUGCCAGCAGCCGCGGUAACACGUAGGAGACAAGCGUUAUCCGGAUUUAUUGGGCGUAAAGGGCAUGUAGGCGGGCUCUUAAGUCGGAUGUGAAAUCUCUUGGCUUAACCGGGAGGGGUCAUUCGAUACUGGGAGUCUUGAGGGCAGGAGAGGGAAGCAGAAUUCCCGGUGUAGUGGUGGAAUACGUAGAUAUCGGGAGGAAUACCAGUGGCGAAAGCGGCUUCCUGGCCUGUGCCUGACGCUGAUAUGCGAAAGCGUGGGUAGCAAACGGGAUUAGAUACCCGGGUAGUCC